AAUCCAAUGGUUCUUUUUGUUUCUCUUCGCCCUAGGCCCGCACGGGUGGUGGGGUGGACAUUAGGCAAGCCUCUUGUUCCUGGCAUGCCGUGUCGAGUUACGUGGCUGCCUUGGUCCCAUGAGGUUAUCUGCCUGUGCUUUCGGAUGCAGAAUGUUAUGUGCUGCGGUGGGUGCUCUCUCGGAGGCCUCCAUCUAAUCAAGCAAUGCAUUUUGUUAGUGCCAAGAACUACCGAUGCACCCGUCUUUGGGCCCCCGGCCUCAUAGCUCGGCAGGGCUCAUG
rnacentral:misc_RNA from 1 species